GACGAACGCUGGCGGCGUGCCUAACACAUGCAAGUCGAACGGCAGCGGGCAGUAGCAAUACUGUGCCGGCGAGUGGCGGACGGGUGAGGAAUACAUCGGAAUCUACCCUGUCGUGGGGGAUAACGUAGGGAAACUUACGCUAAUACCGCAUACGACCCACGGGUGAAAGCGGCGGACCGCAAGGCGUCGCGCGAUUGGAUGAGCCGAUGUCCGAUUAGCUAGUUGGCGGGGUAAAGGCCCACCAAGGCGACGAUCGGUAGCGGGUCUGAGAGGAUGAUCAGCCACACUGGAACUGAGACACGGUCCAGACUCCUACGGGAGGCAGCAGUGGGGAAUAUUGGACAAUGGGCGCAAGCCUGAUCCAGCCAUACCGCGUGGGUGAAGAAGGCCUUCGGGUUGUAAAGCCCUUUUGUUGGGAAAGAAAUCCUGUCGAUUAAUACUCGGUGGGGAUGACGGUACCCAAAGAAUAAGCACCGGCUAACUUCGUGCCAGCAGCCGCAGUAAUAC
rnacentral:rRNA from 1 species